AUUGAACGCUGGCGGCAUGGCUAAAACAUGCAAGUCGAACGCGAAAGUGGGCUUCGGCCCGCGAGUAGAGUGGCGAAAGGGCGAGUAAUGCGUUUCUAACGUACCCCGAGGCCAGGGACAGCUCACCGAAAGGUGAAUUGAUACCUGAUGACCCCGCGGAAUCUCAGGGUUCUGCGGGCAAAGGCUUGCUACCUCGGGAUCGGGAAACGUGCUAUCAGGUUGUUGGUGAGGUAACGGCUUACCAAGCCUUUGACGGCUAGCGGGUGUGAGAGCACGACCCGCCGCAUCGGGACUGAGACACUGCCCGG
rnacentral:rRNA from 1 species